AAAUUGUUUUCAAGUCUUUUUUAAAUGACAUAAGAUUCCUCAAAGGUUUAAACAUUUCAAUUUUAAUGUUGUCAUCAAAAUUUUGAAAUAUACUUUAUUCACUUUUUUUUCUCAAAAUGUAAGACAGUGAUAAACAUGAAUUACAGACAUAGUUUGAUGUAAUAUCAUGCUCAAAUGUUAUCAUCACCUUAAACUAUCCUGUCAUGGAUUCUCAGGGUGUUAAAACAUUUUCAUACCCUUUUCUGUUAGCAUGGUGGAUAAUCAUUGAGUUUAGAGUGUUGAGAAAAGUGUGUGGUCAAAUAGCAUCACAUAGACACUGUUCUUGGAAAUCAAUUCAAAUGAAUAAGCAGAUAAGUUGAUUAUGAAUUUAAAAGUAAACUUUGACAGCUUUUAAUUCUGCAUGUGCCCGAAGUUUGAUUCUAGACAUUACCAGUUGGUCAUUAUAGUUCUUUUGUAAGCAUGGGUAUACUGAACAUGUCUGGUAAAUUCUUGUUAUAGCGUUGUUGCCUUGGUGACGUUUAUGAAAACAUGACAUACCUGGUAUGAUGUAACUGUUAAACAUAUAGUAAAUACUGGUAGUAGAUAAAUAGUUAUACCAAGCUAACCAUAUGAAUAUACUUGUAAAACUUAGAUAGAUUCAGUUGUUAUUAACAAAUUGCCUUAAUGUUUUUUAUAUGCCCGAAAGAAUUUCGGACAUAUAAUGUUAUACCCCCUGGCGUCCGUGUGGCCGUCCGUACGUCCUCCGUCCGUUAGCAAUUUGGUUUCUGGAGCAUAACUUAAGUUCCAUUUGGCCCACAGUAUUCAAACUUCAUAGGAUGAUUGCCCAUAUUGGGUAGAAGACCCCUAUUGAUUUUGGGGUCAAAGGUCAAGGUCACUAUUACCAUAAAACUGAAAAUGGUUUCCGGAGCAUAACUUAAGUUCCAUUUGGCCCACAGUGUUCAAACUUCAUAGGAUGAUUGCCCAUAUUGGGUAGAAGAUCCCUAUUGAUUUUGGGGUCACAAGGUCAAAGGUCAAGGUCACUAUUACCAUAAAACUGAAAAUGGUUUCCGAAGCAUAACUUAAGUUCCAUUUGGCCCACAGUUUUCAAACUUCAUAGGAUGAUUGUCCAUUUUGGGUAGAAGACCCCUAUUGAUUUUGGGGUCACAAGGUCAAAGGUCAAGGUCACUAUUAGCUAAAUACUGAAAAUGGUUUCCGGAGCAUAACUUAAGUUCCAUUUGGCCCACUGUAUUCAAACUUCAUAGGAUGAUUGUCCAUAUAAGGUAGAAGACCCCUUUUGAUUUUGGGGUCACAAGGUCAAAGGUCAAGGUCACUAUUAGCUUUAUACGAAAGUGGUUUCCGGAGCAUAACUUAAGUUCCAUUUGGCCCACAGUUUUCAAACUUCAUAGGAUGAUUGCCCAUAUUGGGUAGAAGAUCCCUAUUGAUUUUGGGGUCACAAGGUCAAAGGUCAAGGUCACUUUUACCAUAAAACUGAAAAUGGUUUCCGAAGCAUAACUUAAGUUCCAUUUGGCCCACAGUUUUCAAACUUUAUAGGAUGAUUGUCCAUUUUUGGUAGAAGACCCCUAUUGAUUUUGGGGUCACAAGGUCAAAGAUCAAGGUUACUAUCACCUUUAAACUGGAAACAGUUUUCGCUCAAUAACUCAAGCAUUAAUCAACCUACAGCUAAAGUACUUUCGGGCAUAUAAUGCCCCGCCUAGCGGUGCUCUUGUUUACCAUUAUGUCUGAGAUUAGGCCAUAUAUUUCCACAAAAAAGUGUUAUUUUCAUUAUAAUUAUUUCCAGUCAUAAGCAAUAAGCAGUUUUUUAGCUGUAUCCUAAAUAAAUCUGUAACACAUAAUCUCUUCAAGUUACAGGACAAUAAAGUAGGUACAAACUAAAGUAUAUUAGAGUAUUAAUUGAGAACAUUAAAGUGUGAAUGGGUUGUGUACCUGGUACAUAGUUGGUGCAGAUAGUAACACUAAGUCACAUUUACCUCAUUUCUAUUUAUCAUUCUUCUUAUUAUAUAGACAUGAAAUGAAAGUUGUACUUAAUUUUUCUCAUUGAUCCAUUCUUAUUUCUAAAAACACAGCACUUUAUGAAUAAUCAAACAAAAAACAUAUUUGAAAUUGGUAUGUAAGUAAUGGUAUAGCUUUUAACAGGUCAGUAAAGUCAAUAUUUGGUAUGCUUUAAGAACUGUAAGCACACAUGGCUGUUGUAUAAAUAUACAUUGAGAUCAUUACAUUGAUCGUAACAGCCCUCGUUAUAUACAUCUUGUACCAAGAUAUUGAUGUUGUAUGCUAUUUUUACAAUGAAACAUUAAAAAAAGAAGAUAUUUUUGUAUGUAUAUAUUUGUUGCUGUUAGUGACUACUUGUUUACAUGUUAUAUGAUAUUCAGAAUUUGUUUACUGUCAAAAUAUGUUACGUUAAAUACUUCAUGUCAUCUUUAAGCUUUGAGCAUAAAUUGAACUUACUAUUUUCAAUAUAGAAUAAGAAUAUUACAUUAAAUUAACACUGUAUUACAUAAACCAAUACAUGGACAUAACAAGAUAAAGUUAAACUGAGAUAAACAAUGUUUUCAGCAAAUUAAAACAUAAAUACUAUAAUGAUAUGGUAUUACUGCUUAAUAUGAAAAAGCCAAAGAAGCAAAAUAGAGUCAUUCUGCUUUUAAAAAUAUAAAUUUUGUAAUAGGAUGUUGUGCUGAAUUUGAAUGAAUUAUGAGUGAUAAGUAUUGUCUUAUGAUUAUAAAACUGUCAACACAUUAUCUACCUUUUGAACACAACGAUGAUAAUGGCAAACCAGUGUCAGCUAUGUAGAACCAGAUCAGCAGUGUUACCAGACUUGAUACAUCGAGUCGCUCUCUUUUAGUAUUUAAAUGCUGAAAUCCACUUAAGUACUCCUGGAAUUCUCUAUUCUCAAAGUAGAACAUGUUCAUUAUACAAAUUCAAAAGUGAUAUGGUUUAUUUUUGUUAUUGUACGUAACUUAUUCUAAUGAAACGGUCAAACUCAAAAUUUCUGGGAAAAAUGGCAACUAUUUUGUUUGUUUGUGUGUAUUACAUAUAUGGUUGACUCAAAUUGUUUGAAAAGUAUUGCUUGUUGUAAACACCGGUAAAUUUUACAUUGGCAGCUUUAAAUGUUUCUGUUGAAUCUUUCCUGGCCUACAUGUUAAGUGUGGUGAAUCUAGGCCUUGAUACAUUUUUGCCAGUUUUAUAUUUGUUUUCAGUUUACUGCUGACAACUCAUACAAGGUUUGCUGAAAAGUGUAUUUACUAAUUCUUAUUGUCAUUUUUUAUGUAACUUUUUUUGUUAGGAAACAUUGGAGUGUCUGUAUUUCCGUAGGUUAUAUUUAAAAAAAGAUACAAAAAUACAAUGUCUUGUAUUUAUAUUUUGGGUUAAGUUGAAAAUUGUUUAAAUCAUUUUUAGACUUUCAAGGCAGACUUAUCAAACUUGAAAGUUGAUAUAUAUAUGCACUCAUCGUAUUUUUGUAAGCUGGAAGUUAAUGGUGAAGAAUUUUGAUUUUAUUUCCCAUAUAUGAAAGAUAUAUUAUAAGGAAACAAAACAAAUUUAUAGUAACAUGUUUCAUUAAUCUUAGUGAAACUUAUAUACCAUUUCAGAGCUUUUUGGUCGAGAAGCAAAUUAUUACUAAUUAGUGAUGGUGUAUUUAUAUAUCAUUUUACAAUCUAAACCAAUAACCUGCUGCAAAUGUGUAAGCCUUUGCAACUGGUACAAUGCCAGGCAAGCCUGUUCAUGUAGUCUGGUCAGACUCUGUACUAUUGUCAGCUAAAAAAAAGUUGUAUUUUGAUAUUAAAUUCCCCUUAAAUUUAAAUGGACUGUUCUAAAUUUAAUGCUUGUCAAGUCCAUUAUGGAAAUUCUGCAGGUUAAAGAUUCUUUUAUGGUUUUAUAUCAUAAAUGUGAUGUAUCAAUAUUGUAAAGCACUAUUUGUAAAGAUAUUACCGAAUUUACAUUUCAUGUAAAUAAAGGGAGAUAAUUAGAAAUUUAUUUUCGAUAAAGUCUAAGCCAAAUUUUUCAAUAAGAAAUGAAUGCAUAAAUUUUAAUGAUUACUUAUAAUGCGAAUAAACAUAUUUAACAUAUUCUCUGAUGUUUGGAAAUUGUUUUAUAAGAAUAAUUAUAUACAUUUAUUAAAUUUCACCUAAGUUUUGUUAUGUCUUCUUCACUGGUAUUGAUAAACUUGAUAUGAUUGUUGUUUCAUUUAGACAUGAAAAGGGAGAGUCAUUCUGUGUUUAAAUUAAGUCUUAGUCAUUAACAUUUGAUUGUGUAUAUUGGUUUAUUAACCAAUUAUUUUCGAAACUUUACUAAUAAUACAGCAGUAGUGAUGACAAUAUAAAUGAUAUAAUUACUUUAUGUAUAUCUUUGAAAAUAGUCUUAGUGUUUAUGUUAGACAAAUAAAUAAUUUCUCAUAACCUAUGAAACUUGUUAAUUAUACUCUUCUUUUUUUCUCCUGGAAUUUGAUUUCAAUUCUUGGUUGAUUAAAUUGAUUAUCAUGAUGGAACUCAAUCAUAGUGGAAUAUAAAUAAACAAUGUAGGACUCACGCAGAUGCGCAGGCUGGUCUGGAUCCAUGCUGGUGGCAAACUCAUUAUGUUGGUUUUGUCGUGACGCGGCUCAUAUAUCAUGCAUUACUGUCCCAUGUUAAAUAUGGCAAACAUUAAUGUUGUAAUUGUUUCUGUUCACAUUCAUUUUAACUUGAACAUAACUCUUUGAAGUCAAACUACAUAGAGCCAAGUCAGUCUACAUAUAUGUGUAGUAUAACCACGCAAUAUUAUAGAAGCUUCUAAAGAUUUAGCAAUUUGUUGUUUAAAAAAACUCAAAUAAAAACAUCAUUAUUAUUAAUAGACAGUUCAAAAGAACAAGUUCAUUACCAGUUCACAAUAUAUACAAUAUAGCUGAUUAACGGUUAAAAUAUAUUGCAUUGUGUCCCUGAUAUACAAUAACUAUACAAUAACAAUAUAAUGGUAAUAUUGAUUUGUAACUUUACAGUUUGUUAUUAUGUUGACCAUUCUAUAAUAAUAUCUUUAACUUAUUUAGUAGGGGAUAUUUAAAAUGUUUUAAAAAUAUGAAGAGAAAAUCUGAUUUCUUCUACCAUGAUUGACUUUCAUUUUAGUAAUACAUACAUGUACUAGUAAUUACAAGAAUAAUUAUUAUUCUGUGACAUUAUUUUCUUUGCAUGAAAACAUAGUUUAAUUUUGAGGCUGUUCACAUUGUAUUAUAUUUAUAAAUGUGUCGGUUAAAUCACCACAAUUACACUCAUCUAAUAAAACAUUUGCACAAUUUGUACAGAAAAAA